rnacentral:rRNA from 1 species
CCUACGGGAGGCAGCAGUGGGGAAUAUUGCACAAUGGGGGAAACCCUGAUGCAGCGACGCCGCGUGAGUGAAGAAGUAUUUCGGUAUGUAAAGCUCUAUCAGCAGGGAAGAAAAUGACGGUACCUGACUAAGAAGCCCCGGCUAACUACGUGCCAGCAGCCGCGGUAAUACGUAGGGGGCAAGCGUUAGCCGGAUUUACUGGGUGUAAAGGGAGCGUAGACGGCAGCACAAGUCUGGAGGGAAAUGCCGGGGCUUAACCCCGGGACUGCUUUGGAAACUGGGCAGCUAGAGUGCAGGAGAGGUGAGUGGAAUUCCUAGUGUAGCGGUGAAAUGCGUAGAUAUUAGGAGGAACACCAGUGGCGAAAGCGGCUUACUGGACUGUAACUGACGUUGAGGCUCGAAAGCGUGGGGAGCAAACAGGAUUAGAUACCCCUGUAGUC